UUAACGUAGUGAUUCCACAAAAAGAGCAGCCAUUUUUUCCCGGUUUCUUCCUGUUGGAUCUUCUGCACCGUACCAUUAAGUUUUUUGUGCUGAAACCAUACGUCUUCCAGUUGAGAAUUUACCUAAUUGGUGACUCUAGCUUUCAAGAAUUUGUUGAUUACUUACUUGCCUUUCUUAUUUAAGUCGAUUAUGUGUGUGUCGCAAUGCAAUUUGCAGUAUAUUAAUCCCCUCUUUUCUUAGACAAAACUGAAUCUCUAUCGUUCCUACUUUUUAAUUACUUACCUAAUGGAGGGAUGACUGGGAAAAACGCCACACUGAAAAGAGAAGGAGGAAUAUCUAAUGAUGGUGAGCCUAACCAGUAAAUACCCAGCAGUCCUUUUCCUUCAAUUUUCUGUUCCUUGUUUUUACAUUUUGCUCAGAGUGAUUGUUAUUGUAUUAACCGUCACUUGUUCCAGAAUUGAAGUUCUAUGCACUCAAUUAAAAUCAUUUGCUGCAGCUUCAGACUAAUAGAGGUGAUUGGGACUUUUGGUUUGCUGGUUGAUUCAAGCCUAUUGUCUAAGCUGUCGUGUAUCCUUUUCCAACCUCUCUCUUCUGGAUAUUUUUUUGAUAUCUUUUUAAUUCUCAGGGAUACCUUCCAGGUUUUUGUUUUUGUUUUCAAAGUGAGUAACUUAUUGUCUUAAGUUAUCUUUCCCCAUCAGCCUUUUGGCAAUUCCUUUAAGUAUAAGCUCGUUGCAUUGA